rnacentral:siRNA from 1 species
CUUAUGAGGGUGUCUAGUUCCCU